AAAUCUUAUUUGAAGGCCAUCCAGUCCUACCAACUCCUCUGUCUGGAUUUUGGAGAAGAGCAAAUAGAAAAUUUGAGGGAGAACACUUGAGAAUGUAUAUAGUGAAACACAAAUGCAACAAAGUGCUGGCCCAACACAUUCCCCAGGAAGAGAAAAGGGAAAGAAAUCUUAGCCUAAAAUGUUGAGAUUCCUCACCUCCUAUCAGGAAACUCCUAGCAGAAGGUAUGCCACCUGCACACAGUGACUGAGUGCCUCACGCUGGCCUGCCACAGCAGCAGUCGUGUUUGCAGAGGAAGCACAGAGCUCCCAGUUCCUGGUUGGGAACCAUGGUGAAGAGUCUAAACAGAGCUGGGCAGCCUCAAUCUGGAGCCUCGGGGAACAGCCUGGAGGCCUUGGCUCGCCAGCAGGCCACCCCUGAGCUGCUAGUGAUUGUGCCCAUUUCUGCACUGUGACAGACAUGUGCCAGAUGUAUACACACAUACGUGC